GGUCCGUUCGUCUAGUGGUUAGGACGCCGGGUUUUCAUCCCGGUAACAGGGGUUCGACUCCCCUACGGACUG
rnacentral:tRNA from 1 species